rnacentral:lncRNA from 1 species
GGUAGUGCGCGGCGGCACGCCGCGCCAUGUAGAUUGAUAAGCUAUUUAGAUUUUCUAUAAAUAUUAGGUAAGUCAUUCCAAAACUCGAUUGUAGCAAAAUAGUUCAUACAAGGAUAGGUACAUGUAGUUGAUACAUGCAUAGGUGAUCAGGAAAAGGUACAUCUAGUUGGUACAUGCAUAGGUGAUCUACAACACGUAGUGAUAGUGGAUAUUGAAUGCAGAAUUGUGAAGCUCUUGUUCUCUUCCUAGACCUGAGAUGUUGAUCCUCCAGCUGGGUGUGUCUCUACAAUGUAGUGGUAGAUAUAUGAAGCUGGUUCUUUUGCUCUUAUUCAGGUGGUUUGUUUGAUGCGUAGACAAUGUUGAAGUUGCUACUGGAUGCACGUCCUGGCUCUCGACGGUUUGGUAAAUUAUCUUGAAAUGGGAGAUAAAUCGUAUCACAUCCAUUUAUCUAACAAAUAAUUAAGGACAGAGGAAGUAUAAAAUUUUCUCAAAUGGUUGCCGCAUCCUAGAAGCAAGUUGCACCAGAAAAUGCAUAUGCAUCAGUAUUCCAUACCGAUUUGUUCCCCUCCAGAGUGCUCUAGAUUAUCUCUAUGUAAUAAAUAUUGCAAAGAAAAUCAAAGUACCACAAUGUACUCCCUCUGUAAAGUAAUAGUACUCUGCUUUCCAAAUCACUAAGUAGUGAUCGGUUCCGCUCCACUAUUGUGUUGUUGAGUAACUCCUGAACAUUGUCUUGAGCGCAUCAUGAUUGUGGUCGUUGAUGACUAUACCGUGAUAUGUGCAAACUUGAUGAAGAGUAGCUUGAGCAACCUUUUUCUUCUGAAAGCUAUUGAUCACAAAUUUUGUAAUGCCAAUUUAACUUCAGAAAGAACAUGGCAACAUGGAACCUUCUCUGAAAAGUAGAAGUUGACGUGCUUGAUUACUAAGAGAGAACCCAUAGAUCUCAUGCCAACAGCAAUAAGCAUUUAAGCUACUUAUAACUUGAUUUUCCAUGAGAAAAUAACAUAUGUUUAAUCAUAUUUAAAAUAUUCAGUCAUGAAAGCAUAGAAGCAUCAGAAUUUUCCACUGAAGACACCAUGUCAGUGCACCAAAAAAUAGGUCAAGGGAAGUGAAAGGAAAAAAGAUCAAGUAAAUAAACUUGGAAGGAGAUCUACAGGAAGUAAUUAUUCUCUUGUACGUAUCAAGUUAUUUUUAAGAAAGGAUAAGAAGGGCAUAUAUAGGGGAUAUGUAUUUUGUUUUCUAGAAUACGGAGUAUGCAUAUCAUUCAUUAAAGAAGGAGAGGGGGGAAAAGAACCCCAGCGAACAACUCUUCCAUGUUUUACAACUAACAUAAUUAGAGUUGAAUUAACUGAACCGAUACAAAUAGGGGAGUAUGUACAGCAAAAUUGCACACUUCCACGUUUUACUGAUACAGCCAAUAGAGCUAAAUUAACUGAACUGAAUUUGUUCCUUGUAUGAGCAAAAAUACUAAGCUUUUAACUGUACGACACAGCCAGUCAAAUGAUGCAUAUAACUGCUGCAUGCUAUGUGGGAGCGGGAAAAAACACUUCUUGAAGGUAAUUUAAGCAUCCAACAAUUGGUGAAAAAACUGAAUUACUACAGUCAGAAUCCAUAUAUCAAAACAAAGUAAAAGAAAAUGAAAUAGAAAACGCUCCACACAAAAUAUAGAUAUGUACGAACUGCUAGGAUAGAAAUAAAUUAAGGAAUCCCUUGGAGAGGGAAUUAUUUACACAUGAAAGAAGUGAGCUAUCAUGCCGGAAAUUCGGAUGCAUGACUAAACAUUCGGAAUAAAAAUAAGGUAAGCUGCUAGAUCUUGCCUGUUGGUAAAUGCCUGGCCAUAUUUUUCUUACAAAAAGCUUUUAAAAUUUAGAUUAGAUAGAACAAAUAAAGCAUUGUUUACCCUUCGCAUAACUUACCCUUUGCACAAAUACUCCAGCAAAGCUUCAUGUUAAUGCAUAUAUUUUUGUAAGUUAAUCAAAUAUGGACCACGAUCUCCUAGAGAACCAAAGACCAAUUACGUGGUAGAGUAAUGUCAAAACAGAGGAAGCAUGAUGUUAGUUGUCCAUGUGCCUGAUAGGACUUGCACCUUUUUUUUGAAAAAAAAUCAACUUACACCUGCACGCCAAGAGUUCAUGCUUACACAAAAUAAUCAGAAGAGUUCAGGUUCAUUAAAACUUCAAUAUAGAAUAACACAUCGUCGAGGUGUUAUACACACGUGUUGAAUGCAAGGAAUAAUACGCCACUAACUGGACCAUAUUCAAUGUUAAAUACUUCGCAGAAUCUAUAUUGAUGGAUUAGUGUUGCUACUUCUCACUGAAAGUAUUGCUGAGGGAAAAAGUACAGCUCAAAGCCUGAUCUGGACUACAUCAUCACACAUAGGAACGUUGAGGAGAAGAUCUUAUGGAAGCAAUCAAUUAAACAGUUCAAGUAUGUGAAACUUGACACCAAUGUCCCUAGGUCAUGAGAUAAGGCACAGUAUAAUACCAUAAGGAAGUAGAAGUAACAUGAUAAUUUGUAAUUCUAUGAAAUAAACAUUCCAGUAAAAAACUACAAUUACAGAUUGCUAAAUUUGCAUGUGAUAUUUCUCCACAUUAAAGUAAUACCAUGGACAAUCUUACAAUCUCCCCUACUUUGUUUCUACAUUUAUCUUUGAAGGGCAGCCCAUAUGAAUCUGAGAAAAGAUAUACCUUUUAUGACUGCUAAACAUCGUCACCAUAAUAUUUCAAUAGUAAUAAGUGCUCUUUCGUAUGACCGGUCUUUCUAAGGCAUUCUCUUUUCGUACAUCACGAACUCAUCAAUCUGAAACAGAAGACAAAUAGACAAUAGUCAAGUGAUAUUAAUUUGCAAAUAAGAAAGAGAUCAUCCAAUUACAUAAAAAAAUCAUAAAAGAUAUUUAAGUACACGCCAUAAGCAUAUUGAACACUUGUAAAAAGGCAUCCAUGCACUGAACUAAUUGCUCCAGCCACGUCCACAAAAUAGUGCAUCCAUGGAACAGAAAACGUGUAAAUACUUCAUCCCUAGUGUUGAGCUAAUGCCAUGUUAGUUGCAUACUGAAAAAAGCACACAUCUUUUUUAUGUUGGCUUAGUUUGGUCAAUUGACCGAACACAUUGCAGUCGACCUGAACACCGAUACCGGAAAAGGUGAAUGCUACAGCUGGACCGGGGCGGAUAUACUACAGGCAGACACGCGAAUGCAUCAGCUAGCACACACAUGACACAGCUGCAGCAGGAGCACAGAAGCCGCACAUGCACGCGACAUAUCACAUGGCCAAGAGAGUGCGAGGGGCAGCCGGCGUGCACUCACCGCAAAGGGGAGCAAUAGCGAGAUUGGACACCUCCUCAUGUUGGCCUCCGUGGCGGAGUGUUGGCCAUCACCUGGCUCGAGCCCCUCCUCUACGCGGAGCUCGAUCAGAAGGGAGCAAGAGGAGUGGAGAAAAAAAAGGAAUCUGCUCCAUGAAUGCCUGCUCUGUUCGCUGCUCUCGUGGAGGCAUGCACUUGCGAUUGGGAGAGGUGACAAGGAAGGCAAGGAGAAGAACAAAAAGAAGGCGGCCGGCCCAGACGGCAACCACCACUUAGAUUCAGGCCACCGCCGGCCAUAAACCGCAAGAAAAAAAGGACACCCAGCUGCUCACCUGACGCCGGAAAAGAUCGAGCCUUCUUCAAGAUGGAGACGGUAUGGUCCAGGCAGGGAUCGACGGGGAGGAAGUAGCCAGAUAAAUCGUCGGCAGGGCGCUGCCCUCCUCCCCGUAGCCUGCUGGCGCCGCUUUUUUUUCGCAACCCUGGAGACCCCUAGAGGAGGGGUGGUUCGAGA